rnacentral:rRNA from 1 species
GGGGAAUAUUGGACAAUGGGCGCAAGCCUGAUCCAGCCAUGCCGCGUGCAGGAUGAAGGCCUUCGGGUUGUAAACUGCUUUUGUACGGAACGAAAAGCCCUUCUCUAAUACAGAGGGGUCAUGACGGUACCGUAAGAAUAAGCACCGGCUAACUACGUGCCAGCAGCCGCGGUAAUACGUAGGGUGCAAGCGUUAAUCAGAAUUACUGGGCGUAAAGCGUGCGCAGGCGGUUAUGCAAGACAGAUGUGAAAUCCCCGGGCUCAACCUGGGAACUGCAUUUGUGACUGCAUAGCUGGAGUGCGGCAGAGGGGGAUGGAAUUCCGCGUGUAGCAGUGAAAUGCGUAGAUAUGCUGAGGAACACCGAUGGCGAAGGCAAUCCCCUGGGCCUGCACUGACGCUCAUGCACGAAAGACGGGGGAACAACCA